AGUGAACGCUGGCGGUAGGCCUAACACAUGCAAGUCGAACGGCAGCACAGUAAGAGCUUGCUCUUACGGGUGGCGAGUGGCGGACGGGUGAGGAACACAUCGGAAUCUACUUUUUCGUGGGAGAUAACGUAGGGAAACUUACGCUAAUACCGCAUACGACCUACGGGUGAAAGCAGGGGAUCUUCGGACCUUGCGCGAUUGAAUGAGCCGAUGUCGGAUUAGCUAGUUGGCGGGGUAAAGGCCCACCAAGGCGACGAUCCGUAGCUGGUCUGAGAGGAUGAUCAGCCACACUGGAACUGAGACACGGUCCAGACUCCUACGGGAGGCAGCAGUGGGGAAUAUUGGACAAUGGGCGCAAGCCUGAUCCAGCCAUACCGCGUGGGUGAAGAAGGCCUUCGGGUUGUAAAGCCCUUUUGUUGGGAAAGAAAAGCAGCAGGUUAAUACCCCGCUGUUCUGACGGUACCCAAAGAAUAAGCACCGGCUAACUUCGUG
rnacentral:rRNA from 1 species